rnacentral:rRNA from 1 species
GACGAACGCUGGCGGCGUGCUUAACACAUGCAAGUCGAACGGUGAAGCUCCAGCUUGCUGGAGUGGAUCAGUGGCGAACGGAUGAGUAACACGUGAGCAACCUGCCCCUGACUCUGGAAUAAGCGCUGGAAACGGCGUCUAAUACUGGAUACGAGAAGGGUCCGCAUGGGCACUUUCUGGAAAGUUUUUCGGUUGGGGAUGGGCUCGCGGCCUAUCAGCUUGUUGGUGAGGUAAUGGCUCACCAAGGCGACGACGGGUAGCCGGCCUGAGAGGGCGACCGGCCACACUGGGACUGAGACACGGCCCAGACUCCUACGGGAGGCAGCAGUGGGGAAUAUUGCACAAUGGGCGAAAGCCUGAUGCAGCGACGCCGCGUGAGGGAUGACGGCCUUCGGGUUGUAAACCUCUUUCAGCAGGGAAGAAGCGAAAGUGACGGUACCUGCAGAAGAAGCACCGGCUAACUACGUG